AACAUUCUGCAAAUUGAAGAAUGUUUUAAAUUAAACAUACGCGAAAUCGUAUCUGAAUAUUCGCCAAAUCGUAAUUAAUUCUACAGUUUAUGAUCGUGACGAAAUAUAUUGUUUGGUUAAUCUGACCGAAUCGACAAUGUGUUGACAUAAAAUGUAAAAAGUACUGAAAAUUCAGAAACAAAAUUUUGCAACACAAAAAUAUUGUUGCUAUGUGAAAUUAGCAGCUGAAGAUCUUCGCUCAACGCUCCUAAGAAGAGGCCACUUAAAACGAGUUACUUGAAACUCCGCAUGUCACCUUGCGAAAGCUGUAUUUGCAUGUACGACGCAAUCUAUUAGACAACUGACAAACAUGAUGACACGAAAUAUGACAUCUUUAGAUUUAAUAAUUCUUUAAAUACACCGAAACCGGAUGAAAUCAGUUUAUCUACGCUUUUUUCGGAUUUCACGUAUCUCAAUUUGUCUUACUUAUUCGUAUAAUUUCACGUUAUGGAAAACUAGAAAAGAGCGAGACGAAAAAUAUGUAUCCAUCUCUAUCAGACCACGUGCUUGGAGAGAAGCUAUAUUAGUCGGUCAUCAGGCGGUCCGUUGAAAUUUUCAUGAAGAAGCCCAUUGUAUCUCUACAUGCUACUGAUUUAUACAAAACGAUUACUGCCCACGACUAACUCCGACUCGAUUUUGGACGUGGCGAUUAGAUUGUUUAACAGUUCCGUUCCUAUGCAAUCAUUUCCGCGAAGAACGGGCAAAGACGUAUUAAAAAAAAAACACGGCCAUUACGUAUAGUGUCAUCCUGCAAAUGUGAAACAUCGACAAAAUGAUGUUUAUUGAAAUUUAUUUUAUAAUCAAAGAAACGGAUAAAUAUAGAAUAAAAUAAAUAAAAACAGA